AAGAGCGCGGCCGCCGCUGCAGAGCCAGUGAGAGCAGCUCCACCAAGCACACGGUGACAGGACUGAAAUGGCGUAGCGCGCAGUCCACUGCCGCAGCAGCGCAGCGGGGCCAGGCUCACUGAACAUUUCAGAGCCUGGCCCGUUGUACUCCAACCAACGAGUAUGAUAGGGAUGACUUUUCGUUCCAGUUCACUCGCUUCCAUACCAGCACGAGAUCACCGGAGACGUGGCCCUCAUAUGUCAUGACAAGAAGAGAAAGGAACAGUCCGGAAAGGAACUCAUGACCAGAUGAGACCGUCUUUGUUCUUCAAAUUGCCCUCCAUCCUGAUAAGUUGACCUUCCUCCAGAGAUAAUUCAGGGAAGUGUUUGUUCAGCAUACCAACUGUCCCCGGUCUAUGAUAAUAUCAUCCCUGCACUUUGAAGAUGACAACUGAAUUUGUUGUUAUUCAUGAAAGAACCAUAAACUCUUCAUGUGUCCAAAAAACUAUAAUAACAACAUGAUUGUGCCACAGUAAAGAACCAUCUUCUGGUCAUAUUUGUUAUAAAUAAAUCCAGUGGAGUAUUUA